UACAGAGGUCUCAAGCGUUGUUCGGAUUCAUUGGGCGUAAAGAGCUCGUAGGCGGUUCGAUAAGUCGGGUGUGAAAACUCUGGGCUCAACUCAGAGACGCCACCCGAUACUGUUGUGACUUGAGUCCGGUAGGGGAGUAUGGAAUUCCCGGUGUAGCGGUGAAAUGCGCAGAUAUCGGGAGGAACACCAGUGGCGAAGGCGGUACUCUGGGCCGGAACUGACGCUGAGGAGCGAAAGCGUGGGGAGCGAACAGG
rnacentral:rRNA from 1 species